UCGAAACCUGCCAAGCAGAACGACCCGUGAACGCGUUGCAAACAACACCGGAGGUGGUGCGGGUGCAUCCUCGCCUCUCGCCACCCCCGUGUCUCGGARCGGCCAGUCUCGUCGUCCCUUUGCCCGUCGGGCAGGGUGAGAUGCCGGGAUCAACCUCUUCGAGGCAAAACGAACAAACCCCCGGCGCGAAUCGCGCCAAGGAAUCGAAACGAAAAAAGGGGCACGUCUUCUGUCGCCGCACCGUUCGCGGUGUCGGUGCUUCAGUGAUGUUGUUCUCUUGUCGCAAAAUAUAC
rnacentral:misc_RNA from 1 species